ensembl:lncRNA
AGGGCUUCCAAGUGGGCCAGCCCUGUUCAUUUACAAACCCCUUCGAUUUUUCAGGUUUCAAAGCUAAUCGCUGUGGUCAUUGUCCGUGUGGUGUCUGGGUCAAGGUGCUGCUAAAACAAAGCCCUUGAAGAGUCAACCUCGAGAGGGUGGAGAGAGAUAUGCUAUAGGAAGCACCUAGGAAAAGGUUAUUUCUCUGCUGUAGCAAACCGCCGACCCCUCCCACCCUCUACACCCUCCGUUUGAGAGACUUCCCUCUGGCCGGCGCCCAUGGCCAAGAAGAACGUGUUCGAACAUUUAUUGGUUCCUUGUGCUGUUGGACUACUAAAUGCAAAGUCAAUUGUGUCAGUAUAUGUCCUUAUUUAUCUAGUGCAGUUUGGGACAGCGGUCAGUUGUGAGUGAAUGUAUCAAAUGUCCUCUUGUGUUUUUAGUGUAUGCAAUGUGAUGGACUGACUGGUUUAAAUGUGUAUGAAAUGAGACUGUAUGUGAUCCUUUUAAUGGAAGGUGAUGCCGAAG